rnacentral:tRNA from 1 species
GCGCCUGUAGCUCAAAUGGAUAGAGCACCUGCCUUCUAAGCCGGUGGUUGGCCGUCCGAGUCGGCCCAGGCGCA